rnacentral:tRNA from 1 species
CAGCUUAUAUUUUAUAAUAAAAUUUAAUUUUUGGGGAUUUAAGAUGUAUAUUUUAUACUUUGCUGA